CGGAACUUUCCAAGGAACAGGCUUAAUGCAUAUAGUCGGCCUGUUGCUGGGAAUUCCCA
rnacentral:pre_miRNA from 1 species